rnacentral:lncRNA from 1 species
AUGUCCUUCCCACUGCCAAGAUGGAUUAAUGCUGGGAGACCUUACAACUGGGUGACGUCAUCGCUGCUCAGAGAUAAAACAGACUUCUCUUGGAAAGCUCCUGCCAGGGCAGGCUCCUAUGUCCUGGAAGCUGUCCCGGACCCCGUCCCGCAGGCUCCAGAGCACCCGGUGCCCCGCCACCGAGCCCCUGCUGUUUAUUGCUUUGGCUCACUGGUUAAAUGCGAAAGUUCAAGAUUUUCUUUCCCUUUUUUCAUAAUUAUAAAAGUAGGACUUUUUUUUUUUUUUUUUUUUUUUNNNNNNUUUUUUUUUUUUCAGUGGCCACACCUGCUGCCUGUGGAAGUUCCCAGGCUAGGGGUCAAAUGAGAGCUGCAGCUGCUGGCCUAAACCACAGCCACACCAACGUGGGACCCAAAACGCGUCUGUGACCUACACCACAGCUCACAGCAAGGCCCCAUCCUUAACCCACUGAACAAGGCCGAGUAUCAAACCCUCGUCCUCAUGGACAGGAGUUGGGUUCAUUACCUCUGAGCCACAACAGGAACUCCCCGAUAUCCUCAUUUCAAAAGGCAGAAAAUUAUAAAGAGAAAAUUAAUCAACCAGAGCCACACCCUGAAGGCUUAGUCUCUGUUAAUGUUAAUUUUGAUGCAUUUCUUUCUAGUCUUUUCUUCUCUUUAUUUGCGACAGAUUUUCAAGCAUUGCUCAGUGGCAGUCAUGUCGAAAAUAAUUUUGUAUACUACCUUUUUAACUUAAUAUUGUAGCAGAAAUGAGUUUUCAGCAACCAUUUCUGUAAAGUUCCGAAAGACUCUUAGUGGAUGUACUAUCAGAUACUUGAAUAUUAUUUCUAUUGACGGACACCUAGAAUGUUUCCAGUUUCCACUGGUAUAUAGGUGGAAGGUACAUCAUCCCUGCACCCAUUGCCAUGUUGGCUUGGGAUACUAUUUGGUGGAGCCCGCAAAGGCAAACUAAGAACUUCGCCCAGUAUAAGUUAAAGGGGGAUGGAAACUUGAAAAAUUCUGCCUUUUCCAUAUUGCUGAUGGUGGAGAACCAGGCUUGGAGCUGACUGCAAAGUGAGUUGUGGUGGCUGUGAAGUGGAGAUCACAGGCCUUGCAGUGGAAGCUGGUGGCAGAAAAGGAUGCACCUUACCCUCAGAGAAUGUGCCUCCCAUACUGCCUUACUGAGAAAGAGAGGCCAAGACGAAGGGAGUGAUCUGGCAUCUAAGGGAAAAACUCUCCUGAAGAUAAGUGGCUGAUCAUUUUCAGAACAUUGUUGUCAAACAUUCUUAAUUUUAAUUCUGUUGAUCACAAGUUCCAACUUACUAUUUGGGGAAAUUCUUGUGUCUUUCUCUUACUGAAAAAAAAAAAAUCAGAGAAAUAACAGAAGAACUAGGCCUAAGUGAAGGAAGAGUGACACAAUUGCAUGUUCUGCCUUGCUCUGAUCAGUCCCUCUGGGAAGUCUCUGUCCCACUUUAUGAGAGACUGGUGUCAUGUUUUUUAAGAUUCCAGAUAGCAAGGAUAUGCAGAGCCCAUGAGCCAUCCAGAACUUCUCUCUGAGCUCCUGCAUAAGCCUACUUCUAUCUCCUGUAAGUCACCUUGACUGAAAAUUAUAGUAGGAGAAGAGGACAGAGGGAAAAAGACUGGUGGUUAGAGAAUACAUUCAGUCUCCUGGCGCCUUUUUUUUUUUUUUUUUUUUUUUUUUUUUUUUUUAAACAGAUGAUCUUAUGCACUCUCAUUUGGUUUGUUAGUCUGGUUUAGAAAGGGCAUGCCACCCUAUUAGCUGUGUGAAUAACAAAACACUGUAGGUCCCUGCCAUGCUUGGAGUCCUAACUGUCUGUAACCCAAGGGAAAAGCAGCAACAGCCAGCUCUUGGCAUCUUCCUCUUUGCUUGGUCUGGGAGGUUUUCUCGUUAUGAGAGAAAGUGUGGCACAAACGCUGUCUCCUUCGGAGCCAGUUUUCUCAAUGCUAUCUCUGUGAGGAAAGAUAGAUUGACCCACUGGCAACACUCUGUCUUGAUUCAAAUACACACCACAGAGCAGGCAAUUUGUGUAACUGGCGUACAGUUUGCAAAGUAACUGAUUCUUGGCCCAUCUGAGAACUAGGCAUGAAGCAGUGAUACAACUUCAAGAGGACAGAGACAGGCCAUGGCAGCUUUCUUUCCCCUCUGAACCCAGAAGGGGUGCCUGCCCCUCUCCCUGUCCACGUUUUAGAGCAGCACUCUCUACUAAUUAUGCAGCCAUACCCUCCUUCUAAUGCUCUUGCAUGGUCUCUAUGGUUUCCACCCAAAAGACAGGCCACCAUGGUGUCUGCACAGGGUGAUAUUUGCUCUAAGAGGAGAGGAGAUCUAGCCUUCUGAGGGCAAUGCUCCAGUCCUGGAUGCCUGCCAGCAACAAACCCACCAGCCCUCAGAUCUCCAACUCUACUCCUUUUUUAGUACUCAGGGAUUCUGGAAGCUCCCCCAUUUCUGGAGGAUGGUUUUCAUUUGGCUAUCUUUCUCUCACAAGACUGGGGAAAAGCCCAAUCCUUCACAGCUAGUACUCGUCCUGUCCAGUGCGUUCAGUCUCGGUCUGGCUCUCGGCAUCUCUUUCUCCAAGUCACAGCAUUCUCUAGGCACUUGCUGACCCUGCUGUGUUCUGCCUGUGACAGGUCACCUGCUUUUUGAAUUCUUUCCACUCUCCUCCCAGUUAUUUGCGAUAGCCUCUUAGAAGCUUAAAAAUAACAUUUAUUUCCCCAGUGGUUUUGUAUAUUUCCAUUUGGCAAACUCUAUUUUGUUCCAUGUGUUUCUAAGGGAACAGAAACCAAAAUGGUUUAUGUCCUGCUUCCUACACUGGCCUGACUGAUGUUGUCAGACUGGAAUUGCCCUUCAGCCCAGAGUGGGUACACCCAACCAGAAGCUGGACCUGGGUGCAGAGACUGUAUAAACUACAAAGACAAUGGACAUUGUUUAACUGUUGGAAAAAUCUACUUCACUGUACUUCCUUUAAUCAAGCAGUGGAUUUUUUAAUAGAGAGAUUCAAACCAUUAUGCAUGGAUAUGAUAACAACGUGAAAGUGGGAUAUACACUGGGAUAUUGUGAACCCAUUAUUAAAAUAAAACUGAGGCCAAUACAAGACA